AAAUAUCGUUUUCUAUUUCAAAAAGCAACGAUUCAAACGCAAAAUAUGGAAUCCUGUUUAAAAAAAAAUCAAACAAAAAUUGUAUGGCGGAUUUCCGCCAUCUAUACUCUUCUACUAAGAUUUAGAUGGCGGAAAUCCGCCAUAUAAAUAUGGGCACAAUCGCCCUCUCCCACGAAUAGAUGACGGAUAUCCGCCAUAUAUAAACUUAGGGAACCGCCUGCUGUAGUUUAGAAAGCGGAAAUCCGUCAUCUAAUGUUACAAAGAUAGUCGACGGCCAUCCGCCAUCAAUAAAAUUUACCGCCAUCAAUGAAUUGGCGCCAAACUUUUUCCGCGUCAUAUUUUAAAAAUUCGCCAUAUAAAAUUUUUCAGUUCCCGCGAAAAUUUUCAGAUUAGAUGGUGGAAAUCCGCCAUCUAUAUAAUUUUUGGUGGGAAAGGGGGAUGGAUAAUAGAUGACGGUCUUUAGAUGGCG
rnacentral:lncRNA from 1 species